rnacentral:rRNA from 1 species
AGUGAACGCUGGCGGCAGGCCUAACACAUGCAAGUCGAACGGCAGCACAGAGGAGCUUGCUCCUUGGGUGGCGAGUGGCGGACGGGUGAGGAAUACAUCGGAAUCUGCCUAGUCGUGGGGGAUAAGCGUAGGGAAACUUACGCUAAUACCGCAUACGACCUACGGGUGAAAGCGGGGAUCGCGAAGACCUCGCGCGAUUAGAUGAGCCGAUGUCCGAUUAGCUAGUUGGCGGGUAAUGGCCCACCAAGGCGACGAUCGGUAGCUGGUCUGAGAGGAUGAUCAGCCACACUGGAACUGAGACACGGUCCAGACUCCUACGGGAGGCAGCAGUGGGGAAUAUUGGACAAUGGGCGCAAGCCUGAUCCAGCCAUGCCGCGUGGGUGAAGAAGGCC